GGAAUUGGGGUUAAGGUGAGAGGAUAUCAACAUGGCAAGACAGGAAGACAGAAGGAUUUAUAGCCCAGCACAGCUCUGUUUAUAACAACCUGCUUUGAGGGAACUAAGCAGGAUCUUACGAGAACUACACUAAUCCCUUACCAGGCUGGUCUUAUACUCACAAUCCUCCUGCCUCAGCCCCCCAGGUAUACCUCAGCACCAGCUCACCUGUCAGGCUUCACUUCUGAAAAGUUCUGCAAUCACCUAAUGCCACCACUCUGGCUAAAACCUCAAUGGUCCAGUGAUGCUGUGACGCUCCAGGGCAAGAUCACACCAGCUGAGGACAUGCUGGGAGGAACAAAAUCUUCAUCUGCAUAGUUCCUCAUUGUUCUAGGAUUUUCGCUACUGCAGCCCUGAGCCACCUUUUAUAUUUGUUACUCCCGAUGCACUGAAUUGGCUGCCCUCUGGGUCAUCUGUUACAUUUGUUACUCCCGGUAUUACACCAAAUAAAGGUGUGGCAAGCUCCAGGUCUUUUGUCUUUGCCGCCCAGAGCAGCAUUGAUCAGGCCCAAAGCUCAGCUUCUUCUCUCAGUCUCAUUUUUCUGUCUUUUCUGUAUAAUUAAUUAACUUGCCUUGUGCUAUCGUGGCUCACAAGAGACGAGGACUUACUGCAGAAGUUCUAGUAAUGUCCCUUUCCCUGUUCCCUACACAUGGGAUUCUGGUAUUCAUGGGGUCCAGGAACCAAUCCUCCAUAGAUCCUGAAGGACAAUUCCAUACAAUUCAUACUCC
rnacentral:lncRNA from 1 species